UACGUAGGCAGCGAGCGUUGUUCGGAGUUACUGGGCGUAAAGGGCGUGUAGGCGGUUGUUUAAGUUUAGCGUGAAAUCUCCCGGCUCAACUGGGAGGGUGCGCCGAAUACUGAAUGACUAGAGUGCGGGAGAGGUGAGUGGAAUUCCUGGUGUAGCGGUGAAAUGCGUAGAUAUCAGGAGGAACACCGGUGGUGUAGACGGCUCACUGGACCGUAACUGACGCUGAGACACGAAAGCGUGGGUAGCAAACAGG
rnacentral:rRNA from 1 species